rnacentral:rRNA from 1 species
GCCCUAGACAAUAUCUAAGGUGCAACCUGCCCAAUGAUUUAUUACUAAAAAUAAAAGUUUUUUAAAAAAAUUAAACGGACGCGGUAACCUUGACCGUGAUAAUGUAGCAUAAUCACUCGCCAUUUAAUUGAUGGAUAGUAUGAAUGGUUAAACGAAUAUUCCACUGUCUUAAAAAGAGAUAACCUAAAAUUUAAAUAAUAGUUAAGAUGCUAUUUAAAACUGUAAGACGAAAAGACCCUAUAGAGCUUAACUAUAAUCUUUAUAAAACUUUCUAAAUAUAAAGAGAGGUAGUUUAGUUGGGGCGACUAUUUUCUAAAUUAAACGAAAAUAAGCAAAGUUAAUAAAAACACUUAUUGUAUAAUUAAUUCAUUUAACAAUUACCAUAGUAGGCUAUAAUGACCCGCUGUAACUAAAUAAAAAGAACAACGAUCAAUAAAUAAAAGCUACCUUAGGGAUAACAGGAUAAUUUUAUUUUAGAGACCCAAUCGAAAAUAAAGUUUGUCACCUCUAUGUUGAAUUAAGAUAUCCCAAUAAUGCAGAAGUUAUUAAAGGUAGGUCUGUUCGACCUUUAAAAUCUU